rnacentral:rRNA from 1 species
GACGAACCGUGCGAACGUUAUUCGGAAUCACUGGGCUUAAAGCGCGUGUAGGCGGAUGGGAACGUCGGUAGUUGAAAGCCCCCGGCUCAACCGGGGAAGUGGUGCCGAAACGACCCGUCUGGAGGGACGUAGGGGGACCUGGAACUUCCGGUGGAGCGGUGAAAUGCGUUGAGAUCGGAAGGAACGCCCGUGGCGAAGGCGGGUCUGUGGGCCGUAACUGACGCUGAGGAGCGAAAGCGUGGGGAGCGAACAGG